rnacentral:rRNA from 1 species
CCUACGGGUGGCUGCAGUGGGGAAUAUUGGACAAUGGGCGAAAGCCUGAUCCAGCCAUGCCGCGUGUGUGAAGAAGGCCUUCGGGUUGUAAAGCACUUUCAGUGGGGAAGAAAGCCUUGGGGCUAAUACCCUCGAGGAAGGACAUCACCCACAGAAGAAGCACCGGCUAACUCCGUGCCAGCAGCCGCGGUAAUACGGAGGGUGCGAGCAUUAAUCGGAAUUACUGGGCGUAAAGCGCGCGUAGGCGGUCUGAUAAGCCGGUUGUGAAAGCCCCGGGCUCAACCUGGGAACGGCAUCCGGAACUGUCAGGCUAGAGUGCAGGAGAGGAAGGUAGAAUUCCCGGUGUAGCGGUGAAAUGCGUAGAGAUCGGGAGGAAUACCAGUGGCGAAGGCGGCCUUCUGGACUGACACUGACGCUGAGGUGCGAAAGCGUGGGUAGCAAACAGGAUUAGAUACCCUGGUAGUC